rnacentral:snRNA from 1 species
ACGCUCUGCUUUGUCUUCAGAAUGAAUAAAUCUUCCGCCUUUUACUAAAGAUUUUCGUGGAGAGAGGAAGCGCAGAGGCUCAUGUAAACACAAUUGCUGUGGAAAUAU